rnacentral:rRNA from 1 species
GCACAAGCAGUGGAGUAUGUGGUUUAAUUCGAAGCAACGCGAAGAACCUUACCAGGUCUUGACAUCCAACUAAGAUUUAAGAGAUUAGAUUGUGCCCUUCGGGGAAAGUUGAGACAGGUGGUGCAUGGUUGUCGUCAGCUCGUGUCGUGAGAUGUUGGGUUAAGUCCCGCGACGAGCGCAACCCCUAUUGCUAGUUGCUACGCAAGAGCACUCUAGCGAGACUGCCGUUGAUAAAA